rnacentral:misc_RNA from 1 species
GAUGAAGAACGCAGCGAAAUGCGAUAAGUAGUGUGAAUUGCAGAAUUCAGUGAAUCAUCGAAUCUUUGAACGCACAUUGCGCCCCUUGGUAUUCCAUGGGGCAUGCCUGUUCGAGCGUCAUUUACACCCUCAAGCUCUGCUUGGUGUUGGGCCUCUGUCCCGCUGCUUUGCGCGGACUCGCCUCAAAGGUAUUGGCAGCGAUCAUGCCAGCUUCUCGCGCAGCACAUUGCGCUUCUUGAAGUUCUGGUGGAUCAGCGUCCAUUAAGCUUACCUUCAUGACUUGACCUCGGAUCAGGUAGGGAUACCCGCUGAACUUAAGCAUAUCAAUAAGCGGAGGA